GCACGACAGUGCGAUAAGGGGACUCCGAGUGCGAGGGCAUAUAGUCCUCGCUUUUCUACACCGUAAGGUGGUGUAGGAAUAAGGGCUGGGCAAGACCGGUGCCAGCCGCCGCGGUAAUACCGGCAGCCCGAGUGAUGGCCGCUAUUAUUGGGCCUAAAGCGUCCGUAGCCAGCCAGACAGGUCCGUCGGGAAAUCCACUCGCYUAACGAGUGGGCGUCCGGCGGAAACCAGCUGGCUUGGGGCCGGAAGACUCGAGGGGUACGUCCGGGGUAGGAGUGAAAUCCCGUAAUCCUGGACGGACCACCGGUGGCGAAAGCGCCUCGAGAAGACGGACCCGACGGUGAGGGACGAAAGCUAGGGUCACGAACCGGAUUAGAUACCCGGGUAGUCCUAGCUGUAAACGAUGCUCGCUAAGUAUGGCACACACUACGAGUGUGUGCUGUGCUGUAGUGAAGACGAGAAGCGAGCCGCCUGGGAAGUACGUCCGCA
rnacentral:rRNA from 1 species